ensembl:lncRNA
GUUCUCAUUACUGGCAGCUGCCUGCACUGGUAUUGGGAAUAAAUAUUUAUUGUUUGUUUACACUUAGAAUUCGAUUCUCUUGAUUCUUUUGGUCUAAACCAAAAAUAAAACGAUAGGCCUACAUUUAGUCCUGGUUCACCUGUUAUUUUUUACAAGUUUAUAAAACAGACAAAUGAAGAUCUGCUGCAAGGAAACGGCGGUUCGACAUCUGUACUGAACUGUAUUGGGCAACAUACCUCCUAUAACAGGAAGAACCAGAAAUCAGAGCUCGUCACGCCGCAUGGACACCACCACCGCCGGUGAAAACGCUGCAUGCUAAACUGUCUCUCAAUCCCUCGCUCUGUCACAGACUGUCACAUUCAGGAAAACAGGUCUAUAACACGUGUGAAGAUGAGAAGAUGAGCGUUCAAGCCAACAUGAAAUCCACGAUUAUCUGACAGGCAGGCCACAGUUUCUGAGAUUACAGGGUUGUGUGUUUGAACGUCUGAUAAGUAACAUCGAGGACCCCCAGGGAACUGUACUAUCUCCCUAUCUGAACUUGAAGCUCAUUACACUCAUAUAUUUUAGACUUGUAAAAUAAUAAUAAUAAUAA